rnacentral:lncRNA from 1 species
UCAAAUGGGCUGUCCAUGUCCAAUGGGCAUGUCCAAAUGGACAAAGCAGUUUAUUGGACAUUAUUUUUUUGAAGCCCAAAUUGUACCAAGUCCAAAUUGUCCAGACCAAAUUGGACCAUUCCAAAUGGGCCUUCCGCAGAGCCCAAAUAGAUUUUCUACUUUAACAUGCUAAGUCCAUAAAAACAUAAAGUUCAGACGUUUUUACACAUUAAGGUUCAUAUGUUAUACACAUCCAAAGCAUUGACAAGUUCAUACAUUAAGGUUCAUACACCAAUACACAAUCUAAAGCAUAAGUAAAUACAUAAGAUAUGAGAAUAGCUUGUGAAGUUCUGAUGGUCCUCUUCUUCUUUAUCUUCUCAGCCUCUCGGUCUCCUUUCAUAAUGAAACACAGAAGUUAAUCAAGUUAUCAUCACACAAGCAGAUACCACAAGCAGAUACACAUCACAUCAGUUCAAGUAAUCACAGACAUGAAGUGAUCUAAAGAAAAACAUGAUGCAUAAAUCCCAAUUUAGUUCAUGAUAACUAACCAAUAAGAUUACCAUAAAGCUCAUAACAUGAAUACAAGAGAUAUGCUUCACAGGACACGAACAACAGUAACAACAUUAAUUAUACCUUUAGGGUUUAGUUGAGUCGGGUCUUCUUCUUCCUUCCACUUCCUUCUGCUUCCUCAUUGGCAUCUUCCUUACCUUCCUCAUCUAAAUCGCAUCC